CAGUAGCCGCGGUAAUACGGAGGGGGCUAGCGUUGUUCGGAAUUACUGGGCGUAAAGCGCACGUAGGCGGCUUGGUAAGUUAGAGGUGAAAGCCUGGAGCUCAACUCCAGAAUUGCCUUUAAGACUGCCGAGCUAGCAGGUGAGAGAGGUAAGUGGAAUUCCGAGUGUAGAGGUGAGAUUCGUAGAUAUUCGGAAGUACACCAGUGGCGAAGGCGGCUUACUGGCUCAUACUGGACGCUGAGGUGCGAAAGCGUGGGGAGCAAACAGGAUUAGAUACCCCAGUAGUCCCUGUCUCUUAUAC
rnacentral:rRNA from 1 species